UACGAAGGGGGCGAGCGUUGUUCGGAAUUACUGGGCUUAAAGCGUGCGUAGGCGGAUCAGCAAGUUGGAAGUGAAAUCCCAGGGCUUAACCCUGGAAUUGCUUUCAAAACUGCUAAUCUAGAAUCCGGUAGAGGUUAAUGGAAUGUCCAGUGUAGAGGUGAAAUUCGCAGAUAUUGGACGGAACACCAGUGGCGAAGGCGAUUAACUGGGCCGGUAUUGACGCUGAGGUACGAAAGCGUGGGUAGCAAAC
rnacentral:rRNA from 1 species